rnacentral:lncRNA from 1 species
GGAGAAAUUGAGAGAAAGUGGAGAAAUUGAUAUAAUGGGUACUGCUGAGAUGGGAAUCACUAAUUUGUAUAUAGAGUCCCAGUUCUGUGCCUAAUUUUGCAUGGUGAGUUUUAGCACAUCUCUUUGACCUCAUUCUCCUUAUCUAUAAAUAGGAUUGAAUGUAGAUUGGGCUAAAUGACCACUAUGAUUCUAGUUGCACCAGUGUUUGGUUCAAUAUUUGCUUCAUUGACUACGCUAUCUGAAGUAUUCAGUAAAAUACAACAAAAAGAGCAAUACACUUUCAUACAAACAUAAUCAACAGAAAAAUGGGGUCACCCCUGGAAAAAGUUAAGUUUUAAAGUUUGCUCUAUCGUGAUUAUAAUUAAACUUGGACAAGCCUCUGUCCUUGUUUCCUCAUUUGUAAGAUGAGUUGUUGGACUAUAUAGUUUUAACAUUACUGGGAUACUUCCCUUUUCCUUCAGUCAGAUUCCCUGUCCUUGAGCCACUGCCUUGUUAAUAAUUUUUUUUUUUAACAUAUUGGAGGGUGUAGGUGUAAUGAAUUAUGUAUUUAUAAAUAGUCUAGCGGGAUGGAGCCAGGUUAAUUCAGAAGCUUCAAGCAAUGUUCUCUGGCUGCCUAUUCCAGUGGGAAGGAUUAACUCUGUACAUACAAGUGCUAGAAAAGUUGCCUCGUUGAUGCUUUCUCAUGGCCUGGCUCCUUAGAAUGACUUUGAAAGGGGAGAAGAAACCAAAGUCAACACUUUUCCUUUAAGCAUCAUCAUGGUCAAAGAAACCUCACAGAACUACAGAACCUCAUUGAAGAUAACUGUCGAGACAACCCCUACCAUAUAAACGAAAUUCCAGUUCCUCCAUUAAGUUAUUGUGGAUUGCAAGAAAUGCUUCCCUCUACUAUGAAACAUAGAACCUUCUACAUUAGAGUUCUUGAUUUUGCUCCACCAUGGAACUUGAUAUCCCACUUCUAAAAUACAUAAAUAUCUAAAUGUAAAUAGCUUAGUCUCCAUGCAUGUAUUGGUUUGCUAUUUCUGUGCUGCUGUCUGUAUGUUCUGUACACACGCCUGCAUAUAUACAUGUCUUAAAAGUGUAAGCUCCUAAAGAGCAGGGUCUGUAUUAUUUGUAUAAUUUCUAAUACACUUCUGUGCAAUGGGGUGUAUUUAAUAAAUGCCUUCUGAU